AUGUAAUAUAAAGCGACAUUUUGGAUGUAGCAUUUUGAAAUAGCAUGCAACUGCUUCGACAAAUAUGUCCAAAUAGAAUUACAAAUGCGCAUAUCCGGUAUUAUUUUGAAGGCUAUAAAAUGGACGAAACACUGGUUUCAAGCGAUUAAUCUCUUCCAACUGGCAAGCAAGGAUGUUGUCUUCGCUAAGAAAAGUUUUAAGCGGGAAUGCUCUUUCGCGAGCAGCUUGCUUGACGCCACUUGUUCAGCGAAAAUUGAGCAAUGGCUCUUCACAUAUUAAGACGGCACAGGCGUUUGAGAAUAUAUCAGGUAAUGAACUAUUGAACUUUUGUCUGUAUUGUGUUGUUGAUUUUAUACCUGUGUAUGAAUUCAUGUUUUAUAAGCUGUGUCGAGGAAUUAUUGAAGUGAAUUUGCUGUCUAAAGUGCUGGGAUUGAUUGCUUAAUAAACCUUUCUAGUUGUUGCUUUACAUGUUCACGACUUGCUGACAAAUCAAGCUUACUGCGUAUGAGACAGAGACAUUGAAUAUGAGACAUACAGUUGUUUAUGAAGGCAAUAAAGCAAAUAAAUCUAGUUUACUAGCCAAUCAAUAUUAAGGAUUCGUUGCUUCGCAAACUUUUGUAGUACUAAACAAACUCAAUGACAAUGUCUUUGAGUUGAUAUUCCUUUCAGAGUUCAGACUACCAUUGUCUCUGAAUAUAUUUGAUAUUGAAAUUGUUAAUUCCCCUGUUUAAUUUGCUUCCUCUCGAAAUACGAAUGUUUGUGUCAAUAUAACCUAUACUAGUAGUUCUUCUGUCCGCGAUGAAGUACAGUAUUAUGAAAAUCGAGUUAAUUUAUGGUGUAAUAUAGAAAAAAGAAUACAAAUUAUGUUCUAAAAUAUAUUCUAAUUGUGGUUCUAAUGCACUUAAAUGGCUUCGAUUCCCACGGCCACGUGUUAUUAAAAUUUAUAAAAUUUCUUCGGAACAAGCCGAACAAUUACUACUCUGACUUGUGCUUGUAAAUCGUCAAAUAAUCUAUGCUAAAAUAUUGAAUCAAAUUGGUCAAAGUGCAUUGUAAAAACUACCCUGAUAGCAGAGCCUGAUUUCUAAAAACAGAAUACAAUGAACUCGUGUUGUAGACAAAUACCCAUUUCUGUUUUGACUAAAGUUCAUCAAGCGAGCAAAUUUAGCUGUUUGAAAUUAACAUACAAUAGAACCGCAGCUCGACAGAGGACGGCCAAACUUUCUUGAGUUACAGACUAACUUAUGGUAACUUUAAGAUUCUUUGGCGAUGACUGAAGCUUUUUGUGCGAUUUAUAUCAUGUUACAAAUUUUCGUCCUUCGUGCGCUUGUCCAAAGUUAUAUACCGAUUCCAAAUUUCGAAAAUUGUGUUGAAAUGUAUUCUUAUAUUUCGUUUUUGGUACUUAUUUAUAGUACAGGUAAUUUUCAUAUAUUUUUGAGCUAAAUUUUGGCCUCAAUACAUUCAUUGUAGUGCAGCAAAUUUUGUGAUCAAGAGUUACUGACGGAGUAUACCUUCUGUAGAAUAUGGCAAUAGAAUAUUCUAACGGGAUCGCAAGUCAAUAAUAGAAUUCACUCGAACGAAAUAUUUUGAUUUUGUGACAAAAUUUGCUUACAAAAAGUUGUAAAUCUGAUCAUGCGUGGCUCACAUGACUUUCAGUAUACUUGACCUUCAACGGUACCUCGGGGCGAAAAUGAGUUGGGAAAAUGUCAAUGGUAAACACAUGGGCUUUUCCCUAAGGGUAUGGUCACAGAAUACUGGUUAUUCCAACUGUUUAAGAUGGGUAGUGUUACAAACUUUACACGAAACGGUAAAACUACAACGACCACUGUCUUCUCUUGACAUUGUUAUGAGCAGUUUUCGUUUCCUGGCAUCAAUAGCAAUUCUUUGUGAUUCUUCGAAGUAUGGGUCAAGUUCAUACCUCCUAUGAGUGCUGUAACUUUGUGUUUACACUUCAUAUCAUAUUACGAUGGAAAUUUCCAAAUUCCAUGCUUCAGCCAAUAAUUUAGUCAUUUUAAGUAAUUUGUAAGUUAGAUUAAAAAUAUGUUGUUUGGCCCGUCAAUGCGUGAGAUUCGUCCUUGACGAGUCGUCUGGCAUUAGAGUAUUAGACUGAGUAAAAUACACUGUAAUAAAGAUUAAAGUAUGGUGCAUUUGGGGCUUGGGCAGGAGUGAAUCUACCGAUCUAGCCUCGUCUGCAAGGAGGGGUGCAGGUUUUCCAUGGG